rnacentral:rRNA from 1 species
AGAUUGAACGCUGGCGGAAUGCUUUACACAUGCAAGUCGAACGGCAGCACGGGGGCAACCCUGGUGGCGAGUGGCGAACGGGUGAGUAAUACAUCGGAACGUGCCCAGUCGUGGGGGAUAACUACGCGAAAGCGUAGCUAAUACCGCAUACGAUCUACGGAUGAAAGCGGGGGAUCGCAAGACCUCGCGCGAUUGGAGCGGCCGAUGGCAGAUUAGGUAGUUGGUGGGGUAAAGGCUCACCAAGCCGUCGAUCUGUAGCUGGUCUGAGAGGACGACCAGCCACACUGGGACUGAGACACGGCCCAGACUCCGUACGGGGGGCAGCAGGUGGGAAUUUUGGACAAGUGGGGGAAACCUGAGUCCAGCCAUCCGCGUGUGCGAUGAAGGUCCUUACGGGUGUAAGCUACGUUUGGCAAGGGAAGUAAACGGCGACG